UGUCCCAGCCUUCUGCCUUUGGCCACGAA
rnacentral:piRNA from 1 species